rfam:Myotis lucifugus cont2.20502, whole genome shotgun sequence.
GGCAGUUCUUGGAUGAUGCACCCCGGAAUUGGGCUCCCUCCUCUCUGGUUCUGGGGUGCAUCACUCAAGAACUGCU